AGUUGCACUAAAUGAAUACAAUGAGCUCUACAAAUUACAGAGCCCUUCCAGGAAAUCUGAGAUGAACGUGAAGAACUGAGGUUGAAAUAUGUUCAGCUAAUAAACAGUUGCAUAAAACCUUAAAUAUGUGCAGCCAAGGGAUUUGCUGAAGGUGUUCUGGAACGAAAAUAUGUUUCUGUUUGCUUAACUGAAACUACGUUGCUUUAGAUGACCUCACGUUCUUCAUUUCUAAGCCCACCAACCCUGCAUCGAGGCUCAACAUACUGCAAGAUGCCAGACUCACCAGAGGAAGACAGUCAAUAAUGUAUUACAUUAGUUUUAAAUACAAUACUCUUGAUUUUUGACAAUUAUAGCUGCAUAGUAAAUACUGCCUGUCACCACUCACAGCCACGCUGAGAAAACUGCGUGUGUGAUUAGGGGACUGUAAAGAGCUCAGUGUGGGGGCUGCAGUCAGAAGACAGAGCUCAUGGCAGAGGCAGCAAGCUGUUUGCUACAUUCUGUGUCACACAGGUAACACCUUACUCUGCUGUUUUCAGCCUGCACUACGUUUUGAUUCAUUACCUGAUGAUGUCUGAAGUGUUAGUUGGCAGCUAACUGCUUACAGCCUGGCCACCAGAUAAAGACUUCUCUAAUGCGACUGUACAGCCUAGGAAUUUCGCAGAUAAACAUGAAGGUUGAUAUGGACAAAGUAUGAAUGGCAAUGUACAGGUGCAAAAUCAUCAAGAAAAACAAGAAGGGAUAAAGGAAAGGCAUGAGCAGAUGGGCCAAAAUCAGGUCACCAAGAUUGCAGCGUACACUGUGCAGCUUCUCAAGGACCUGGCUCUGGAAAACCUCAGGCUGCCUGCUGGUGAGCCUCCAGGUGAAGGCAGCUUGGCUCCAACUCUCUCUCCUAGUGGACCUUGAACCUACUCUGUAGCUUUGUCUUCGGCCCUAUAGCAGUAGCCAAAGGUAGACCUCAGAACUGUUUUGCAGCCCUGUCUCAGCCUUUCCUCUGGCCUCAUCUCCUGCUGCUCUUGGAUGGACCCUGAAGCCCAUUAGUUGACCUGCAUAGUUUGGACCCUGGACCUGAUUAAUUUGCCUUGAUGGGACUCUUGGUGGAUUCUAUUAUCAUUAUCUAGGUGUGAAGGACUGCGCCCAGCUGGUGAAGGCACAGCAGCUCCUGGCUUGUACCAGUGCAAGUCAUGCACAUAUGUGGCAGAGCACAUCUCCAGCUUCACACACAUUAAAAGAAAGGUUGGAUCAGUCUGUAUGAGAAAGUGUGUGAAACUCUACCUAGGCUGUUUUGCAUCAUCCUUGGAUACACUGGCUAAACAUUAGCAGUGGAAAUACUGAACGUAGUACUCCGAUUUGAUGGAGAGGUGAAGCAGCUCUCUGUGGGAAGAUCCCCACCUUGGAGACUCUGGAGGGUUCGAAAUCCCCAGUGAAGCGAUGCAGAGCCUUUCAAGGCAAGACACUGUAUACAAAAGUUCCUGUCAAGCAGCCAGCACGAACAACAACGGCUGGCACGAGGAAAGGUUCACAGAUGCUUGUUCGAACGUGCAAUUGUGCAACAUCGCCGCCUAUUGCAGGCUCCGGCUGCUGCUAUAAUAAAGGCACCAGCGCCAUCUGCCUUCUCAAACCCAACUCAACCAAGGAGGAAAGGUCCUCAUGGAGGCUAGAUGGCAGCAACACCGGUUUGGCUUAAAAGCACCAGAAUUGAUCCUUCUCCUGCCCCUGACAGACUCACUGUUCUUGGACACCCUGGCAAACCUGCAGUCUCCGUCAGAUCAUCACAGCGCGAGCAUACAAAGAGCUUACAAAGAACAAAGAUGGUUUGGGCAAUGAUUUAAGGUAUUGCAAGGACACAGCUGUAGGCAGACACAGCACCGAGGUUCCCAUUUGUUGCACAUCUGUCACAAAAAGAAAGCAGAGCACAUUGAGGCGCUGUGCUGAUGUGUCAUGCUAGGCUUGAGGUUUGGUGCCCUUUACUCCCUGGGUGCCCCUGGGGCUCCUCACACAGCUCAGCAUUGGUUUCCACCCUACGAAAUGCCAGCUGCGGGCACGAAGAGCGACAGCGCUGCUCCCAAUGGUAACCACGCAGACGUCAAUCUCUGCUGCAGGAUGUAAUUGCAAUCUACAGGAAAAGGUAAUAACUGUGGUGAAAGGUUUCCAACAACCGCGAUGCCAUCCCCUGCCCCGCUCUGAGAUCUGUUUGAGACACGGGGAGAGAUUUCCGCCACUCGUCCUCAUGGUUACAGUCAGCAGAAAGCAGGCUGCACGGAGCCAGGUGCUCCUGCCAACCCCAACACAGCCCAAAGGAAGCAAAUAAAAAGGCCCGAGAGUAACAGUCAUCACUGCCUAAACUGAUGUUGCUAUACAGGAAUCUGAGUCACAGCGAGAGGCUGCUCAAGAAGGGAGCAGAGGAGACAAGAAAUUCCAGCCAGGGCAGGGGAGCUCUGACUGAAGAAGCUCAGC